CUACGGGGCGCUGCAGGCGAGAAAACUUUGCAAUGUGCGAAAGCACGACAAGGUUAAUCCGAGUGGUUUCUGCUAAAGGAACCUUUUGACAGUCCUAGAAACACUGUUGAAUAAGGGGUGGGCAAGUUCUGGUGUCAGCCGCCGCGGUAAAACCAGCACCUCAAGUGGUCAGGAUGAUUAUUGGGCCUAAAGCAUCCGUAGCCGGCUCUGUAAGUUUUCGGUUAAAUCUGUACGCUCAACGUACAGGCUGCCGGGAAUACUGCAGAGCUAGGGGGUGGGAGAGGUAGACGGUACUCGGUAGGAAGGGGUAAAAUCCUUUGAUCUAUUGAUGACCACCUGUGGCGAAGGCGGUCUACCAGAACACGUCCGACGGUGAGGGAUGAAAGCUGGGGGAGCAAACCGGAUUAGAUACCCCAGUAGUC
rnacentral:rRNA from 1 species